AGAGUCUUCGUUUCUCAAACUUCCAGGGGAUGCUGAGGAACAGGGGAUGCUGAGAGGCGAGGAGUGAGUGAUGAAAAGGGAAAGCGUCCAGAAGGAGACUCUUAUUUGUUGAGAGGAUUAGCGUGAGGAUAUCAAUCGUUCCUGAGUUCUUAGCACAGAGAAAAACAAGACAUAGCCCGCGCUCACCUCAGUUGCGUGGUAUCAGAAAUCUAAACAGACCAUUGCGUAAAAGGGUGAUCAGUUUCCUGGCAGAGCCUAAGCAUGGGAUACCAGAGAUGGUUUGCUGGAGAAGGUAGCCUUCUGACAGGUCUGUGCAGUGAACGCUGUCAGCAUUACUCAUCAACUUUGGAGAAGGUUUUAAUCAGGCUUGGCAUGACAGGUUUUGGCUUAACUGGCGAAGCUUCAGGGCUUCUAAAAGGAUUUUCCAUUGAUGAGGUGAGACUGAAAAGAAUGGACAAUUUUUUCCCCAAAGUUUCCAAAAUUGUUACACAGGAGGAAGAAACGCUUCCAAAAUAGUAAGACUCCACAAAUGUUCAGCCACCACCACAGCAUGACCUCUGAUGAGUGGUGUAGGACUGCACCUGGGAACUGAACUCAGGCCGCUGAAGUGGAGCACGCCGAGCUUAACCGCUAGGCCGCCGGGACUGGCCCUCACAAAUGUUCAGGAAGUUUAGCCCUGAGUUAACAUCUGUCGCCAAUCCUCCUCUUUUUUGCUGACGAAGAUUGGCCCUGGGCUACCAUCUGUGCCCAUCUUCCUCCGCUGUACAUGGGAGGCCACCACAGCGUGGCUUGAUAAGCGGUGCAUAGGUCCACACCCAGGAUCUGAACCUGUGAAACCUGGGCUGCCAAAGUGGAGCACGUGAACCCAACUGCUACACCAUCAGGCCGGCCCCGGUCUGUCUGGAGAGAUGGGCAAGUGUGACAGGCGACCACUAGGUGGCGCUAUCAUGUGACGAAAUCAUUAACAUGGAAGCUCAUCACCUGCCCUGCACGAUAGAGGGGAAGAGCAGAUAAACAUCUAUCUGGAGAACAGCAAACUUCUCAUCUCAAUAAAUUCCAGCCAUCUGCCAGGAUUUGGGGUGGAAAUGGAGGCCGGCCCAGGAGAAUGUACACGAUGCAGGAGUGCGAAAGCUGGGGGGAAGGAGGAAAAGUCAAGCCUACCUGGUUGUGUGGCCCCUGCCCACCCGUCCAGUCCUGAUUCCCGAGGCCCCUCCUCUGCCUUGCCCAGGAGACGUGCCAAGCCUGCAGGACACCUUGGUGCCUUUCCCUAACCAUACCCUCCACCUGCCAAACCCUUCUUUGUUCCUUUCUCUUAAGACUCAGUCAAGUGUCACCUGCCCUGAUCCAGAUGGAACUUCUCAUAGCUUCUUUGUGCUCCACUGUCCCCACACCUCCUUUCCCAGGUCUUUGCCACUUUAGUGGACUUAGAUGUUUACCAUCGAGUGAGGAUUUCCUGGCUUGGUGUUGUUGGGGGUGGCAAGAGGUCAGGCUUGUUCUAUUCAGCCUCAAGGGCUUUCUCACCCACAGCAGCUUUUUGGGGCUCCAGGGCCCACCCUCUGCCUCAGGGCCCUGAGAAUGUCCUAGAAUGCUGUAAGUUUGUCCACACUAUAUAACUUGCAUAGCCCAGUGCAAAAGGAAAAUACAGAAUGCCUUGUUCAAAACCUAUGAAGAAUUUCAAGAUGGUGACAGCAGAGCAUUAAACCAAGAGCAGGGCCCUUCUGACCACAGGGCCCUGUGUGACUGCACGGGCCCCACACCCAUGAAGUCAGCGAAGUGGGUUUUGUGUCUGUUGAAUGGUCAUCAGGUGACCUGCUGGGCACUUGAAAGGUGGUUGGCCAUCAUCAGACUUUUCAGUGUAUGAAGCCCUUCACAUCAGCAACUCCCUUACCCUCCAGCUUUAAGACAUAAGAGAAAUAGCUUAGAAUUUGGAGUUAGGCAAAUCUGGAUUUGAAUUCUGAUUCCAUUACUUAAUAACACAAAUCAUGAACAUCUCCAGCCCUCAUAUGCCUUAUCUGCAAAAUGUGAGGUAAUAAUACCUACCAUGAAUACUCUGUAGGUUCAAAUGAGAUUUAAGAUAGAAAGCACUGGGUCUAGAGUCCACACCUACCGUGUCUCACUGAGCUCUCCCCACUGAGCCGCCCUGCUUGUCCUCAGAAGCAUCUGAUCAGGAGAGAGCAGUGGCAGACAUUGGGCCUAAUGGUUGGGCAGUGCUUGCUCAGUGAGGAGGGUCAGUGUGUGAGGCCCCAGGGAGCUCCUCCUGAGUGCUCCAUGGUCUCCAGCAGCAUCAACUGAGUCAGGUAAGCAAUGAAAGAGAGAACCAGGGAGACCCUGGAGAAGCUCUUAGAUCACAGAAUCACCAUGGGGGAGAUUCAUUCAUCAUUUAUCCAACAAGUGCAUAUGAAUACUUCCUGUGCCAGGUGCCAGGGAUACAGUGGUAAGCAAAACAGGUGGGGUCCUGACCUCUGUCAGCUUAAUGCAUGCCAUUGUGUCCUGCUCUCUUGGAUGCAUCCCUCCCUAGCCAACAGUCAACCACCAUCUACCAGGUGCCUCUAAGAGGCAGGAAAUGAGACUACAGCAGGUGCUGUGACUCCACCCACCUCCUCGGAUGGAAAUGAAUGAAAGCUGUGUGCUUUCAUUCUCAACAGCCAACCUGCGACUCUUUGUAGGUGCACUGUCCUCAGGCUGCUGGAGCUCCCUUUGCCGAGUGCACAGAGAGCCAGAAGUGCCUGGGAAAUGACAUCCCCAGGAGCAGCCCUUAACCAAUGAUUGACAGGUGCAGAGGUGUAAAGACUCCAGCCCCAUCCACCGCUGGGGCCAACUCUCAGGUUUGACUUAGACUAUUUCCACAUCUCCCCCAGUGGACUGAGCCAAAGUUACUCUCCUGGGACUUUGCUUGAUCUCACACCCUUGAUGACCGUCUUCCCUUUCUUGCCUCUCAUCUUCAUUUGUCUGCCUGUUUUUCCUAGGACCAUUUCCUAAGAACUUACUUUCAGACAAAUCCUUGUUCAGAAUCUACUUAUGGGGAACUCCCUGACUCAAGACAGAAGAAAAAAGGAGGCAGCAAUUGCUUCUGUCUUCAUGUUACUACAAACAGAGAUGCAAUGUGUCAGAGCUACAGUAACCUGCCA